rnacentral:misc_RNA from 1 species
UAUGUUUGGUAUGCCAUAUACUUCAGUUUACUCAAAUUCACGUAGUGAACACGAUUUGUAAUGAAGCUGGAGCAGGCAAAUAACCCAUUGGAGAAACAAGUCAAAGAAGGGUCGUAUAAAUUUCCGAACAACCUAUGGAAGAAUGUUAGCAGUGAAGCUAAGGAUCUUAUAACAAAACUGCUUACUGUUGGUCACAGAAAAUGCAUCACGGUUUCAGAAGCUCUGGAACAUCCUUGGAUGAAGGAUAAAGAAAUGAUAGAAAAAGCAGAAAAAAUGAUAAAACCGACCGUGGAUGGAAGAUCAAUGUCUCCGCCCUUAUAAAAGACAUUUUGAAGACAACAGAGACCAAAAAAGCGAAA